CUAGCCGUAAACGAUGGAUACUAGGCGUUGCGUGUAUCGACCCAUGCAGUGCCGUAGCUAACGCGUUAAGUAUCCCGCCUGGGGAGUACGCACGCAAGUGUGAAACUCAAAGGAAUUGACGGGGGCCCGCACAAGCGGUGGAGUAUGUGGUUUAAUUCGAUGCAACGCGAAGAACCUUACCAGGGUUUGACAUGUCCGGAACCUCGGUGAAAGCUGAGGGUGCCUUCGGGAACCGGAACACAGGUG
rnacentral:rRNA from 1 species